rnacentral:misc_RNA from 1 species
UCCUGGUUAACCCAGGCAGUCUCGCUAGAGUGCCCACCAUUACGUGCUGGCAACUAACGACAAGGGUUGCGCUCGUUGCGGGACUUAACCCAACACCUCACGGCACGAGCUGACGACAGCCAUGCAGCACCUGUGCAAUCGUCUCUUGCGAGAAGAUGUUAUUUCUAACACUGUCAAUUGCAUGUCAAGACCAGGUAAGGUUCUUCGCGUUGCAUCGAAUUAAACCACAUGCUCCACUGCUUGUGCGGGUCCCCGUCAAUUCUUUUGAGUUUCACUCUUGCGAGCGUACUCCCCAGGCGGUAUACUUAUCGCGUUAGCUUCGACACAGGUGGGGUUGAGACCACCUACGCCAAGUAUACAUAGUUUACGGCAAGGACUAC